rnacentral:rRNA from 1 species
CGGAUUGAAGGCUGAAAUUCGCCUUCAUGAAGCCGGAAUUGCUAGUAAUGGCAGGUCAGCAUACUGCCGUGAAUACGUUCCCGGGCCUUGUACACACCGCCCGUCACACCAUGAGAGUUGGGAAUACCCGAAGCCUGUGAGCUAACUUAUAGAGGCAGCAGUCGAAGGUAGAAUCAAUGAUUGGGGUGAAGUCGUAACAAGGUAUC